UGGGGAAUAUUGCACAAUGGGCGCAAGCCUGAUGCAGCCAUGCCGCGUGUAUGAAGAAGGCCUUCGGGUUGUAAAGUACUUUCAGUCGGGAGGAAGGUGGUAAGGUUAAUAACCUUAGCAAUUGACGUUACCGACAGAAGAAGCACCGGCUAACUCCGUGCCAGCAGCCGCGGUAAUACGGAGGGUGCAAGCGUUAAUCGGAAUUACUGGGCGUAAAGCGCACGCAGGCGGUUGAUUGAGUCAGAUGUGAAAUCCCCGGGCUUAACCCGGGAAUUGCAUCUGAUACUGGUCAGCUAGAGUCUUGUAGAGGGGGGUAGAAUUCCAUGUGUAGCGGUGAAAUGAGUAAAGAUGUGGAGGAAUACCGGUGGCGAAGGCGGCCCCCUGGACAAAGACUGACGCUCAGGUGCGAAAGCGUGGGGAGCAAACAGG
rnacentral:rRNA from 1 species